UACGAAGGGGGGCGAGCGUUGUUCGGAAUUACUGGGCGUAAAGGGCGCGCAGGCGGCUCUGAAAGUCAGAUGUGAAAGCCCCGGGCUUAACCUGGGAAUUGCAUUUGAUACUCUGGAGCUUGAGUACGGGAGAGGAGAGUGGAAUUCCCAGUGUAGAGGUGAAAUUCGUAGAUAUUGGGAAGAACACCGGUGGCGAAGGCGGCUCUCUGGACCGUAACUGACGCUGAGGCGCGAAAGCGUGGGGAGCAAACAGG
rnacentral:rRNA from 1 species